GCAGCCUGUGGAAUACCAGGGAAAGGAGGAGAUCACAGCUCUGGGGGAAACAUGGACCGUUUAAAGAAUGCUGCUUUGGUCACCUUAAGCAAUACAAGUUAACAAAGCUGUCACCAUCUACAAAAUAUGCCUUUAGAAUAGCGGCCAAAAAUGACAUUGGAAUGAGUGUUUGAAAAAAGCUGUGCUACUCGUCCUACAGUAACUCCCAUCACAUCUGAUGAUGAUGACGCUGCGGAAGCAGGUAAAGUGUCAAUUGUAGUAUAGGGUAUGUUUGUAAAGGAAUGGCCAUAACAAAAUUUCACUUUCAAUAAUAGGUCCAUCAAAAGAAGUCUGGAGCAGCAGAAGUGGGACUUCGGUAAGACACCACCACAAAAAACCUGUGGCAGCAAAGAAAGCAAGGUCUGAUGUCCAGGGCCAACCACAGCAGGCUACCCCACCACGAAGAUUAUCGACAGUAUGUUCGGUCCCCCCAAUCCAAAUUUUGGAAACACAUCCAAGACGUCAACCAUAGUCCCCUCAU